UACGAACCGUCCAAACGUUAUUCGGAAUCACUGGGCUUAAAGAGUCCGUAGGCGGCCAAUUAGGUGAGGUGUGAAAUCCCCCGGCUUAACCGAGGAAUUGCGCUUCAAACCGAGUGGCUAGAGGAAGAUAGAGGAAAGCGGAACUGAUGGUGGAGCGGUGAAAUGCGUUGAUAUCAGCAGGAACACCGGUGGCGAAAGCGGCUUUCUGGGUCUUUUCUGACGCUGAGGGACGAAAGCUAGGGGAGCGAACGGG
rnacentral:rRNA from 1 species